GUUCAGCACUAAGUCACUUUGUCUUUAUGGCAAAUGUGAGAUGCAGUGUAUGGAAUGUCAAAUUUCUAGUAUGAGAAAUUAACGAUUUAAGUCCUUCUUAAAUGAGGCCAUUUACCCAAAGAGGGUGCCAGGCCCGUAUAACGUUAAUGAUUACUAGAUGACAUUUCCAAAGAGUCGUGUUGCUUGAUAGUGCAGCACUAAGUGGGUGGUAAACUCCAUCUAAAACUAAAUAUAACCAUGAGACCGAUAGUAAACAAGUACCGUGAGGGAAAGUUGAAAAGAACUCUGAAUAGAGAGUUAAAUAGUACGUGAAACUGCUUAGAGGUUAAGCCCGAUGAACCUGAAUAUCCAUUAUGGAGAAUUCAUCAUUAUGAUUUUAAUAUUAAUAAUAUUAAAUUAAUGGUGUGCAUUUUUUCCAUAAAAGGACAUUGUAAUCUAUUAACAUAUAUAUUUAUCAUAAGAUCAAUUAUGCGUAAGUUUAUUCAAAUUAUUUUGCUUGCAAUUUAACAUAGAAUAAAUGCUCUUUGAUUUGAUAAAGUGUUGAUAGAUUUAUUAUAUAUAGUGCUUAAAUAUUUUUUUUAAUAUUUUAUAAUAGCAUAUUAAUCAUUGAUUUUUAUGUUUAUUAUAUGCACUUAUAUGAUUAACAAUGCGAAAGAUUCAGGAUACCUUCGGGACCCGUCUUGAAACACGGACCAAGGAGUCUAACAUAUUUGCAAGUUAUUGGGAAUAAAAACCUAAUAGCGAAAUUAACAUAACUAUAUAUGAUGGGAUUAGUUUUUAGAUUAUUUUUAAUAGUCUAUUAAUUCAAUCCCGGGGCGUUCUAUACAGUUAUGUAUAAUAAUAUUUAUAUUAUUUAUACCUCUAACUAGAGCGUACCUUGAGCAUAUAUGCUGUGACCCGAAAGAUGGUGAACUAUACUUGAUCAGGUUGAAGUCAGGGGAAACCCUGAUGGAAGACCG
rnacentral:rRNA from 1 species